rnacentral:tRNA from 1 species
GCGGCGGUAGUUCAGUUGGCUAGAAUGUCUCCCUUCCAAGGAGAAGGUCACGGGUUCGAAUCCCGUCCGCCGCU